rnacentral:rRNA from 1 species
AUCGUAACUCCUACGGGAGGCAGCAGUGGGGAAUUUUGGACAAUGGGGGCAACCCUGAUCCAGCAAUGCCGCGUGAGUGAAGAAGGCCUUCGGGUUGUAAAGCUCUUUUGUUAGAGAAGAACAUGGGUGAGAGUAACUGUUCACCCCUUGACGGUAUCUAACCAGAAAGCCACGGCUAACUACGUGCCAGCAGCCGCGGUAAUACGUAGGGUGCAAGCGUUAAUCGGAAUUACUGGGCGUAAAGCGUGCGCAGGCGGUUGUGUAAGUCAGAUGUGAAAUCCCCGGGCUCAACCUGGGAAUUGCAUUUGAGACUGCACGGCUAGAGUGUGUCAGAGGGGGGUAGAAUUCCACGUGUAGCAGUGAAAUGCGUAGAUAUGUGGAGGAAUACCGAUGGCGAAGGCAGCCCCCUGGGAUAACACUGACGCUCAUGCACGAAAGCGUGGGGAGCAAACAGGAUUAGAAACCCUGGUAGUCCUAGAGC